UCCUUUCCUUUUCUUCAGUGAAUCGGAGCUCAGAGCGUUGCUUCGGUUUCCCUCCAGACAGCUUUUUUCUUCUAACUGGAGGACUGCAGAAAGGGGUAACACAAAGGGGAAGAACUGGAGAAAGAGUGAUGCUACGGAGUUGUAGAGAGAGAGGCCUCAGGAACUUAUUUGUUUCUGUAGGUUGAUUACAUCUGAUCUAACUGUUACAAGAGCUCAUGUUUAAUCUGUUAGGAAUCUGAAAUAAACAGGAAAGCACUAUGUCUUCAAUGUGGUCUGAAUAUACAAUUGGUGGGGUGAAGAUUUACUUUCCUUAUAAAGCUUACCCGUCACAGCUUGCUAUGAUGAAUUCUAUUCUCAGAGGAUUAAACAGCAAGCAACAUUGUUUGUUGGAGAGUCCCACAGGAAGUGGAAAAAGCUUAGCCUUACUUUGUUCUGCUUUAGCAUGGCAACAAUCUCUUAGUGGGAA
rnacentral:lncRNA from 10 species